CUGACGAGGGGCGGCUUGCAGGCGGAGCACACCCCCACCCGGCCCGGGCCACGUGUGUCCCCGGUUCGCGAGCAGCUCUGACCCUCUCCAGGCCAGCCUGGACCGCAGGGCUGCCCGGCACUGGCUGGAGAUUGUGGCGCCCGGGGCAGGCCCUGACACUGGCCUGGAGAUGCGGGGGAGAAAGCCGAGGAGAAGGGGGCGAGGUAGUCCCGCUCCAGGGCCGGUCCAUUUAUUUGGCAGGGCUCCCCCCAGGUCUGCCAGAUUCCGCAGAGGGCCUGCACGCCUUCAAGCAUCCGUGUGAGUUGUGCGUGAAUAAAAGAAAUCGUAUAAUUUCUGACUCCAUAGUAUGGACAAACCGAGGCUAGAGAACUGGGCCAGGGUUACACAGUCAUCUGGCCAGAGGAUUAGAAUUCAGCGCUUUUGACCUGAAGACGGCUUCCUCUUAACCUUUCUGGAGGAUCUCUCCUGCUGUGGGCGGACUGAGCCUGCCGCCAGGUGUCUUAACACAGUGCUUGACUUGGCCAGCGACCACUUAAGCCUAGGCUAUUUUUAGCCAUCUUCUAGAACGGUGGUUCUUAAACUCUGCUGUGUGUCAGAAUCACCGGAAAGCUAAUAAAAAACAGAGGCCUGGGAUCAUUGAAGAAGCGUAAGACCGGGGUUUCCGCAUUUUUACCAAGUGAAUCUAAUUAAACCUAAGUUUGAGAACCCAGGAGGUGCCCGCAUUGCCUUUUAAUUACGACACCCAGGAGGGAGGUAAUUUUAAAGGGGAAUCCAAAUUUAUCAUUGAAGUUCUCUCCUCCGGUUUCCUGUAUAUCCAGUUCAUUUGAAAAAUAAAUACAAAUGCUCCUGGAUUUAUGGCUGCUUCCCGUACCCACCGCAAGCUGAUAAUAUCCUAAGUCAAAAGGCGAGUUUAACUUUGUAUAUUUUCAACUCGCAUUGGCUUCCCACACGCAACCCCAUCGUAAGUUGAAUGUACCAAAUGCUUUUGAGCUGUGGUAAAGUGGGGGCCCAGCUGUAGACAGAUAAGUCCAUUAAGUCCCUGUGCUUGCCAACAACUAUGCUGGGUGCUGCAGGGGAUACCAAAUUAAGUGAGAGGUGGCACUUGAGAUGGGACAGAAAUGAGUAAACUUAGGACAGGUGGAAACGAUGAAGGUCUUAGGGAAUGAGUAGACAGAACAGGUGGAGGCGAUGAAGGUCUUAGGGAAGGAGUAGACAGAACAGGUGGAGGCGAUGAAGGUCUUAGGGAAUGAGUAGACUUAGGACAGGUGGAGGCGAUGAAGGUCUUAGGGAAUGAGUAAAUUUAGGACAGGUGGAGGCAAUGAAGGUCUUAGGGAAGGAGUAGACUUAGGACAGGUGGAGGCGAUGAAGGUCUUAGGGAAUGAGUAAAUUUAGGAUAGGUGGAGGCGAUGAAGGUCUUAGGGAAUGAGUGAGCUUAGAACAGGAGGCGAUGAGGUGUGGGGGAGGGGCAGCCGACUAAAGGUAGGACAGGGAAGAGUGAUGUCCCGGGAGAGGUUGAGUUUUGGUAGGACCUUCAGAUAUGUGACAUAUUUAUUAAGCUAGGUACUGGAAAUACAUCGGUGAACAAAACACAGAAGUCCCUGCUCUCAUGGAAAUUACUAGAUGUUUUACUUAUUGCCCCACUAUAAGGUAUCUUAAAGUAGUGAUGAACAUACAGGAAAAAUGGGGAUUGUAGGGUGCUUGUGUUAGGGUAGAGGGUACCAAUUUUAUUUAUUUAUUUUUUGAGGCAGAGUCUCUCUGUCACCAGACUGGAAUGCAGUGGCAUGAUCUCAGCUCACUGUAACCUCUGCCUCCCAGGU